UAUUGCUUAUAUGGUAGGUAAGUAAACUGGAGAUUGUAUUGCGUUAGACAUGUAGACACUGAUUUGAACAUUAAGUUUUUGGUAUUUACUUUAGCUACGGUUUGGUUGUCUGGUGUUUCAUUCUUACUGUGAGCUCCAUUGACAGGAGACUGGCACCACGCUAUCUUCUAUUACGAACUAGUCUUCUAGAGGUUUAUUCUAAAGACAUGUAGACACUGCUUUAUUUGGUGUUUGAUUCUUACUGCGAACUCUCUUUAAAUUAUUAUUAUUAUUAUGACUUGUGUCAAAAGAGAUCUGUUCUAUUUCCUAUUGGAGAUAGCGCGUACCACUUUCAAUUGGAAUUCCCAUUCACAAACACAUCCACUGCCAGCAGAUCUUUGGGUUUGGAUGAACCGCGCGACGUCGCGUCACAAAGCAAACUGAAAUUGAAGUUGUAUGAUGCCCCCGUGUGUGGCAGCCAGCUAGCGAGAAACUGUUGCAUAAGUUGCUGAAGUGUAGCCAACAGCAGCAGCACCAGCAGCAACAGCAACAAAGGCCCAGAAGACCGGCGGCUAAAUGGAGCGUUCGAUGCGAUGACAGCUCAAUGGCCCAUUGCUGUCAUAUCUGUAUGUAUGCCUGUAUGUAUCUCAAUGUACUCAAUGCCCAGUGGCCAGUCCUCAAUGGACGACAUUCUAAUUUGAUCAAUGGCAAAAUAAUCGAUGGGCAAAUAAACCCAGAGAAAAAUCUCCAAAGUUUUAAGUUUAAAUAAAUUUAUUGUUGCACUUCACUCUGCUUGUACCUAAAAAUCGAAAAUACAAUUUAUAUAUGGCUGUGUUUCCCCAUUUUUCUCUGAGUGUAGAUGUGAUAUAUAUGUUUGACUGAAACAUUGGUUUAAAAUGGCAAAAUGAGAUCUUGGCUCAAUAUUCCUGUUUUUGGUAUUCUGAACGGGGUAAAGGCAUCUCUACGGGCAACUCAAAUUC